rnacentral:rRNA from 1 species
UACAGAGGAGCCAAGCGUUGUCCGGAUUGACUGGGCGUAAAGCGCACGCAGGCGGUCGGGCGCGUGGGGUGUGAAAUCUGGCCGCUUAACGGCCAGGCGCCAUCCCAUACGGCUCGACUGGAGUGAUGCAGAGGUCGAUGGAAUUGCAGGUGUAGCGGUGAAAUGCGUAGAUAUCUGCAGGAACACCCGUGGCGAAAGCGGCGCGCUGGACCACUACUGACGCUGAGGAGCGAAAGCGUGGGGAGCGAACAGG